rnacentral:rRNA from 1 species
AGUGAACGCUGGCGGUAGGCCUAACACAUGCAAGUCGAACGGCAGCACAGUAAGAGCUUGCUCUUACGGGUGGCGAGUGGCGGACGGGUGAGGAAUACAUCGGAAUCUACUUUUUCGUGGGGGAUAACGUAGGGAAACUUACGCUAAUACCUCAUACGACCUACGGGUGAAAGCAGUGGAUCUUCGGACCUUGCGCGAUUGAAUGAGCCGAUGUCGGAUUAGCUAGUUGGCGGGGUAAAGGCCCACCAAGGCGACGAUCCGUAGCUGGUCUGAGAGGAUGAUCAGCCACACUGGAACUGAGACACGGUCCAGACUCCUACGGGAGGCAGCAGUGGGGAAUAUUGGACAAUGGGCGCAAGCCUGAUCCAGCCAUACCGCGUGGGUGAAGAAGGCCUUCGGGUUGUAAAGCCCUUUUGUUGGUAAAGAAAAGCAGCAGGUUAAUACCCCGCUGUUCUGACGGUACCCAAAGAAUAAGCACCGGCUAACUUCGUG